rnacentral:rRNA from 1 species
GAAUUUAAACCCCUUCCAGAGUAUCAAUUGGAGGGCAAGUCUGGUGCCAGCAGCCGCGGUAAUUCCAGCUCCAAUAGCGUAUAUUAAACUUGUUGCAGUUAAAAAGCUCGUAGUUGAAUUUCUGCUGCAUCGUGGUUCUUCGCUAUGUCGAGUGAUCUUCGUUGUGGCUUAGUUGGGGCAUGUUUUCAUGACUCGACGUUUACUUUGAGAAAAUUAGAGUGCUUCAAGCAGGCUUUUGCCUUGAAUACUUUAGCAUGGAAUAAUGGAGUAGGACUUUGGUUCUAUUUUGUUGGUUUUAGGAGCCGGAGUAAUGGUUAAUAGGAACAGUUGGGGGCAUUCGUAUUUGACUGUCAGAGGUGAAAUUCUUAGAUUUGUCAAAGACGAACUACUGCGAAAGCAUUUGCCAAGGAUGUUUCCAUUAAUCAAGAACGAAAGUUAGGGGAUCGAAGACGAUCAGAUACCGUCGUAGUCCUAACCAUAAACGAUGCCGACUAGAGAUUGGAGGUCGUCAGUUUGAACGACUCCUUCAGCACCUU